UCCCUGGAAGACCAGUGGUUAGGCCACAGUGUUCUCAUCUCUGUGGCCCGGGUUCAAUCCCUGGCCAGGGAA